GGGGAUGAUUAGGAUUCGACGUUGAUUACAAAGCUAUGGAUGCAUGUCGAGAGCGUACGGUGAUCUCGUAAAUAAACGCUGUACAUUAGUUAUAGUCGCAAACGACGAAAACUACGCACUAGCGGCAUAAGUCCGCUUACACCAGAACUCGGGUGGCUAUAGCCGGGGGACGGUGGCAUCGUCUUAUAGCCUCGCCUCGCGGACUUCGCUCGUAGUCCAACAGGUCAAACUUUAAUCGAGACAGCUCUAAACACCCUGCCCCUCGGGUCGUGAUGAGUUAAAUCAAUAGAGACGGCUAAGCAUGUAGAUUCUCUAGUGGAGGAUUGGCGGACGGGGGUUCAAAUCCCCCCAUCUCCACCA
rfam:Thalassolituus sp. HI0120 HI0120_c1424, whole genome shotgun sequence.